UGGGGAAUAUUGCACAAUGGGCGCAAGCCUGAUGCAGCCAUGCCGCGUGUGUGAAGAAGGCCUUCGGGUUGUAAAGCACUUUCAGCGGGGAGGAAGGCGUUAAGGUUAAUAACCUUGGCGAUUGACGUUACCCGCAGAAGAAGCACCGGCUAACUCCGUGCCAGCAGCCGCGGUAAUACGGAGGGUGCAAGCGUUAAUCGGAAUUACUGGGCGUAAAGCGCACGCAGGCGGUCUGUCAAGUCGGAUGUGAAAUCCCCGGGCUCAACCUGGGAACUGCAUGCGAAACUGGCAGGCUAGAGUCUUGUAGAGGGGGGUAGAAUUCCAGGUGUAGCGGUGAAAUGCGUAGAGAUCUGGAGGAAUACCGGUGGCGAAGGCGGCCCCCUGGUCAAAGACUGACGCUCAGGUGCGAAAGCGUGGGGAGCAAACAGG
rnacentral:rRNA from 1 species